GGGGAUGUACCUCAGUGGUAGAGUGCUUGCUUUGCAUGUAUGAAGUUUAGGGGUCAAUCCCCUGCGACUUCA